AUUGAACGCUGGCGGCAUGCCUAACACAUGCAAGUCGAACGGAAACGAUGGGAGCUUGCUCCCAGGCGUCGAGUGGCGGACGGGUGAGUAAUGCUUAGGAAUCUGCCCAGUAGUGGGGGACAACCAGAAGAAAUUCUGGCUAAUACCGCAUACGCACUACGGUGGAAAGUGGGGGACCUUCGGGCCUCACGCUAUUGGAUGAGCCUAAGUCGGAUUAGCUUGUUGGUAGGGUAAUGGCCUACCAAGGCGACGAUCCGUAGCUGGUCUGAGAGGACGAUCAGCCACACUGGGACUGAGACACGGCCCAGACUCCUACGGGAGGCAGCAGUGGGGAAUAUUGGACAAUGGGCGCAAGCCUGAUCCAGCAAUGCCGCGUGUGUGAAGAAGGCCUGCGGGUUGUAAAGCACUUUCAGUAGAGAAGAAAAGCCUAGGGUUAAUACCCCUGAGUCUUGACGUAACCUACAGAAGAAGCACCGGCUAACUCCGUG
rnacentral:rRNA from 1 species